rnacentral:rRNA from 1 species
CGAGGUGAGUAAUGUCUGGGAAACUGCCUGAUGGAGGGGGGUAACUACUGGAAACGGUAGCUAAUACCGCAUAACGUCGCAAGACCAAAGAGGGGGACCUUAGGGCCUCUUGCCAUCGGAUGUGCCCAGAUGGGAUUAGCUAGUAGGUGGGGUAACGGCUCACCUAGGCGACGAUCCCUAGCUGGUCUGAGAGGAUGACCAGCCACACUGGAACUGAGACACGGUCCAG